CAGUCGCCGCGGGAAUACGUAGGUGGCAAGCGUUGUCCGGAAUUAUUGGGCGUAAAGCGUGCGCAGGCGGUUUUGUAAGACAGGCGUGAAAUCCCCGGGCUCAACCUGGGAAUGGCGCUUGUGACUGCAAAGCUAGAGUGCGGCAGAGGGGGAUGGAAUUCCGCGUGUAGCAGUGAAAUGCGUAGAUAUGCGGAGGAACACCGAUGGCGAAGGCAAUCCCUUGGGCCUGCACUGACGCUCAUGCACGAAAGCGUGGGGAGCAAACAGGAUUAGAUACCCGGGUAGUCCCUGUCUCUUAUAC
rnacentral:rRNA from 1 species